UACGGAGGGUGCAAGCGUUAUCCGGAUUCACUGGGUUUAAAGGGUGCGUAGGUGGGCUGGUAAGUCAGUGGUGAAAUCUCCGGGCUUAACCCGGAAACUGCCAUUGAUACUACUGGUCUUGAAUGUCGUGGAGGUGAGCGGAAUAUGUCAUGUAGCGGUGAAAUGCUUAGAUAUGACAUAGAACACCAAUUGCGAAGGCAGCUCACUACACGAAUAUUGACACUGAGGCACGAAAGCGUGGGGAUCAAACAGG
rnacentral:rRNA from 1 species